CCUACGGGAGGCAGCAGUGGGGAAUUUUGGACAAUGGGCGCAAGCCUGAUCCAGCAAUGCCGCGUGAGUGAAGAAGGCCUUCGGGUUGUAAAGCUCUUUUGUCAGGGAAGAAACGGUUGUUCCUAAUACGGAUGGCUAAUGACGGUACCUGAAGAAUAAGCACCGGCUAACUACGUGCCAGCAGCCGCGGUAAUACGUAGGGUGCAAGCGUUAAUCGGAAAUUACUGGGCGUAAAGCGUGCGCAGGCGGUUAUAUAAGUCAGAUGUGAAAUCCCCGGGCUCAACCUGGGAACUGCAUUUGAGACUGUAUGGCUAGAGUGUGUCAGAGGGGGGUAGAAUUCCACGUGUAGCAGUGAAAUGCGUAGAUAUGUGGAGGAAUACCGAUGGCGAAGGCAGCCCCCUGGGAUAACACUGACGCUCAUGCACGAAAGCGUGGGGAGCAAACAGGAUUAGAUACCCUGGUAGUCCACGCCCUAAACGAUGUCUACUAGUUGUCGGGACUUAAUUGUCUUGGUAACGCAGCUAACGCGUGAAGUAGACCGCCUGGGGAGUACGGUCGCAAGNUUAAAACCGNGAAAGAUUGACGGCNGAGACGAGACGACGGACGACGACGAGGGGAGGAGG
rnacentral:rRNA from 1 species